rnacentral:rRNA from 1 species
GACGAACGCUGGCGGCGUGCUUAACACAUGCAAGUCGAACGGUUAAGCGCCUUCCUUUUUGGUGGGUGUGGAUGAGUGGCGAACGGGUGAGUAACACGUGAGUAACCUGCCCCCUUCUUCUGGAUAACCGCAUGAAAGUGUGGCUAAUACGGGAUAUUCUGGGUCUGUCGCAUGAUGGGUCUGGGAAAGAUAUUGUUUCGGUGGGGGAUGGGCUCGCGGCCUUUCAGCUUGUUGGUGGGGUGAUGGCCUACCAAGGCGGUGACGGGUAGCCGGCCUGAGAGGGUGGACGGUCACACUGGGACUGAGACACGGCCCAGACUCCUACGGGAGGCAGCAGGGGGGAAUAUUGCACGAUGGGCGCAAGCCUGAUGCAGCGACGCCGCGUGAGGGAUGGAGGCCGUCGGGUUGUGAACCUCUUUCGCCAGUGAAGCAGGCCUGCCUCGUAUGUGGGUGGGUUGACGGUAGCUGGAGAAGAAGCGCCGGCUAACUACGUG